rnacentral:rRNA from 1 species
GUACGUAAGCGUUGAUCCAGAGAUUUCCGAAUGGGGGAACCCACUAUCUUUAGUCGGAUAGUAUCCUUACGUGAAUACAUAGCGUGAGGAAGGCAGACCCAGGGAACUGAAACAUCUAAGUACCUGGAGGAAGAGAAAGAAAAAUCGAUUUCCUGAGUAGCGGCGAGCGAAACGGAAAGAGCCCAAACCAAGAAGCUUGCUUCUUGGGGUUGUAGGACACUCUAUACGGAGUUACAAAAGAAAGUUAUAAAUGAAGCGGUCUGGAAAGGCCCGCCAAAGACGGUAACAGCCCGGUAGUUGAAAUGGCUUUCCCUCCAGAGUGGAUCCUGAGUACGGCGGAACACGUGAAAUUCCGUCGGAAUCCGGGAGGACCAUCUCCCAAGGCUAAAUACUCCCUAGUGACCGAUAGUGAACCAGUACCGUGAGGGAAAGGUGAAAAGCACCCCGGAAGGGGAGUGAAACAGUUCCUGAAACCGUGUGCCUACAAGUAGUUAGAGCCCGUUAAUGGGUGAUAGCGUGCCUUUUGUAGAAUGAACCGGCGAGUUACGAUUUGUUGCAAGGUUAAGCGGAAAAAGCGGAGCCGUAGCGAAAGCGAGUCUGAAUAGGGCGCAUAAGUAACAGGUCGUAGACCCGAAACCAGGUGAUCUACCCAUGUCCAGGAUGAAGGUAAGGUAAUACUUACUGGAGGUCCGAACCCACGCACGUUGAAAAGUGCGGGGAUGAGGUGUGGGUAGCGGAGAAAUUCCAAUCGAACUUGGAGAUAGCUGGUUCUCUCCGAAAUAGCUUUAGGGCUAGCCUCGAGGUAAAGAGUCAUGGAGGUAGAGCACUGUUUGGACUAGGGGCCCUUCUCGGGUUACCGAAUUCAGAUAAACUCCGAAUGCCAUGUACUUAUACUCGGGAGUCAGACUGCGAGUGAUAAGAUCCGUAGUCGAAAGGGAAACAGCCCAGACCACCAGUUAAGGUCCCCAAAUAUAUGUUAAGUGGAAAAGGAUGUGGGGUUGCUUAGACAACCAGGAUGUUGGCUUAGAAGCAGCCACCAUUGAAAGAGUGCGUAAUAGCUCACUGGUCGAGUGACCCCGCGCCGAAAAUGUACCGGGGCUAAACAUAUUACCGAAACUGUGGAUGAACCUCUUUAGAGGUUCGUGGUAGGAGAGCGUUCUAAGGGCGGUGAAGUCAGACCGGAAGGACUGGUGGAGCGCUUAGAAGUGAGAAUGCCGGUAUGAGUAGCGAAAGAAGGGUGAGAAUCCCUUCCACCGAAUAUCUAAGGUUUCCUGAGGAAGGCUCGUCCGCUCAGGGUUAGUCGGGACCUAAGCCGAGGCCGAUAGGCGUAGGCGAUGGACAACAGGUAGAGAUUCCUGUACCAGUGCUAAUUGUUUAACCGAUGGGGUGACACAGAAGGAUAGGGAAUCGCACGAAUGGAAAUGUGCGUCCAAGCAGUGAGUGUGAG